rnacentral:rRNA from 1 species
GUAGGUGGCAAGCGUUGUCCGGAAUUAUUGGGCGUAAAGCGCGCGCAGGUGGUUCUUUAAGUCAGAUGUGAAAGCCCCCGGCUCAACCGGGGAGGGUCAUUGGAAACUGGGGAACUUGAGUGCAGGAGAGGAAAGUGGAAUUCCACGUGUAGCGGUGAAAUGCGUAGAUAUGUGGAGGAACACCAGUGGCGAAGGCGACUUUCUGGCCUGUAACUGACACUGAGGCGCGAAAGCGUGGGGAGCAAACAGGGAUUAGAUACCCUGGUAGUCCACGCCGUAAACGAUGAGUGCUAAGUGUUGGGGGGGUUUCCCGCCCCUCAGUGCUGCAGCUAACGCAUUAAGCACUCCGCCUGGGGAGUACGGUCGCAAGACUG